GGGUUGUGAGGUUAAGCGACUAAGCGUACACGGUGGAUGCCCUGGCAGUCAGAGGCGAUGAAGGACGUGCUAAUCUGCGAUAAGCGCCGGUAAGGUGAUAUGAACCGUUAUAACCGGCGAUUUCCGAAUGGGGAAACCCAGUGUGACUCGUCACACUAUCAUUAACUGAAUCCAUAGGUUAAUGAGGCGAACCGGGGGAACUGAAACAUCUAAGUACCCCGAGGAAAAGAAAUCAACCGAGAUUCCCCCAGUAGCGGCGAGCGAACGGGGAGGAGCCCAGAGCCUGAAUCAGCAUGUGUGUUAGUGGAAGCGUCUGGAAAGGCGCGCGAUACAGGGUGACAGCCCCGUACACAAAAGCGCAUGUGCUGUGAGCUCGAUGAGUAGGGCGGGACACGUGGUAUCCUGUCUGAAUAUGGGGGGACCAUCCUCCAAGGCUAAAUACUCCUGACUGACCGAUAGUGAACCAGUACCGUGAGGGAAAGGCGAAAAGAACCCCGGCGAGGGGAGUGAAAAAGAACCUGAAACCGUGUACGUACAAGCAGUGGGAGCCCCACCACUAAGCCAGUGGUGAACUCCACAUACGCAUCCUUUGCUGAUGGCAAUGGUUAACGGAGCGAAAGCGACGUUCAACCGCAAAACAAGCAGAGGGGGCUUAGUGGUGGGGUGACUGCGUACCUUUUGUAUAAUGGGUCAGCGACUUAUAUUCUGUAGCAAGGUUAACCGUAUAGGGGAGCCGCAGGGAAACCGAGUCUUAACCGGGCGUUAAGUUGCAGGGUAUAGACCCGAAACCCGGUGAUCUAGCCAUGGGCAGGUUGAAGGUUGGGUAACACUAACUGGAGGACCGAACCGACUAAUGUUGAAAAAUUAGCGGAUGACCUGUGGCUGGGGGUGAAAGGCCAAUCAAACCGGGAGAUAGCUGGUUCUCCCCGAAAGCUAUUUAGGUAGCGCCUCGUGAAUUCAUCUCCGGGGGUAGAGCACUGUUUCGGCUAGGGGGCCAUCCCGGCUUACCAACCCGAUGCAAACUGCGAAUACCGGAGAAUGUUAUCACGGGAGACACACGGCGGGUGCUAACGUCCGUCGUGAAGAGGGAAACAACCCAGACCGCCAGCUAAGGUCCCAAAGUCAUGGUUAAGUGGGAAACGAUGUGGGAAGGCCCAGACAGCCAGGAUGUUGGCUUAGAAGCAGCCAUCAUUUAAAGAAAGCGUAAUAGCUCACUGGUCGAGUCGGCCUGCGCGGAAGAUGUAACGGGGCUAAACCAUGCACCGAAGCUGCGGCAGCGACACUCAGGUGUUGUUGGGUAGGGGAGCGUUCUGUAAGCCUGCGAAGGUGGCCUGUGAGGGUUGCUGGAGGUAUCAGAAGUGCGAAUGCUGACAUAAGUAACGAUAAAGCGGGUGAAAAGCCCGCUCGCCGGAAGACCAAGGGUUCCUGUCCAACGUUAAUCGGGGCAGGGUGAGUCGACCCCUAAGGCGAGGCCGAAAGGCGUAGUCGAUGGGAAACGGGUUAAUAUUCCCGUACUUGGUGUUACUGCGAAGGGGGGACGGAGAAGGCUAUGUUGGCCGGGCGACGGUUGUCCCGGUUUAAGCGUGUAGGUGUGUGUUCCAGGUAAAUCCGGUUCACUUUAACACUGAGGCGUGACGACGAGGCACUACGGUGCUGAAGCAACAAAUGCCCUGCUUCCAGGAAAAGCCUCUAAGCAUCAGGUAACAUCAAAUCGUACCCCAAACCGACACAGGUGGUCAGGUAGAGAAUACCAAGGCGCUUGAGAGAACUCGGGUGAAGGAACUAGGCAAAAUGGUGCCGUAACUUCGGGAGAAGGCACGCUGACAUGUAGGUGAAGUGAUUUACUCAUGGAGCUGAAGUCAGUCGAAGAUACCAGCUGGCUGCAACUGUUUAUUAAAAACACAGCACUGUGCAAACACGAAAGUGGACGUAUACGGUGUGACGCCUGCCCGGUGCCGGAAGGUUAAUUGAUGGGGUCAGCGCAAGCGAAGCUCCUGAUCGAAGCCCCGGUAAACGGCGGCCGUAACUAUAACGGUCCUAAGGUAGCGAAAUUCCUUGUCGGGUAAGUUCCGACCUGCACGAAUGGCGUAAUGAUGGCCAGGCUGUCUCCACCCGAGACUCAGUGAAAUUGAACUCGCUGUGAAGAUGCAGUGUACCCGCGGCAAGACGGAAAGACCCCGUGAACCUUUACUAUAGCUUGACACUGAACAUUGAGCCUUGAUGUGUAGGAUAGGUGGGAGGCUUUGAAGUGUGGACGCCAGUCUGCAUGGAGCCGACCUUGAAAUACCACCCUUUAAUGUUUGAUGUUCUAACGUGGACCCGUAAUCCGGGUUGCGGACAGUGUCUGGUGGGUAGUUUGACUGGGGCGGUCUCCUCCUAAAGAGUAACGGAGGAGCACGAAGGUUGGCUAAUCCUGGUCGGACAUCAGGAGGUUAGUGCAAUGGCAUAAGCCAGCUUGACUGCGAGCGUGACGGCGCGAGCAGGUGCGAAAGCAGGUCAUAGUGAUCCGGUGGUUCUGAAUGGAAGGGCCAUCGCUCAACGGAUAAAAGGUACUCCGGGGAUAACAGGCUGAUACCGCCCAAGAGUUCAUAUCGACGGCGGUGUUUGGCACCUCGAUGUCGGCUCAUCACAUCCUGGGGCUGAAGUAGGUCCCAAGGGUAUGGCUGUUCGCCAUUUAAAGUGGUACGCGAGCUGGGUUUAGAACGUCGUGAGACAGUUCGGUCCCUAUCUGCCGUGGGCGCUGGAGAACUGAGGGGGGCUGCUCCUAGUACGAGAGGACCGGAGUGGACGCAUCACUGGUGUUCGGGUUGUCAUGCCAAUGGCACUGCCCGGUAGCUAAAUGCGGAAGAGAUAAGUGCUGAAAGCAUCUAAGCACGAAACUUGCCCCGAGAUGAGUUCUCCCUGAGACUUAAAGUCUCCUGAAGGAACGUUGAAGACGACGACGUUGAUAGGCCGGGUGUGUAAGCGCAGCGAUGCGUUGAGCUAACCGGUACUAAUGAACCGUGAGGCUUAACCUUACAACGCCGAAG
rnacentral:rRNA from 1 species